ensembl:lncRNA
CUGGGGUCUGUGCCCACCGCGCGCACCUGCCUAACGUACCCUUUGAGUGACGUCCCAGCAACUGUGUUUUCCUGAGAAAAAAUGAGCACUGCACAGACGAGUGUUUGCUGUUGGUGUCCAGUCUGCCCUGUUGAUGGCGUCUUUUUUCGUCCUGAGUGUUGAUUGCCAUCUGAUUGUUCAGCUACAUACACCCCAAAGGCUCUUUUAAGAGCCACACCACGAGAGCGUCUUUGGCUUUGCUUUUUUUUGCAUCAUCUUCCACUGUCUCCCCACCUCCUUCACAUUUUUGUCUUGCCACAUUCAGGGACAUUCAGAGAAACAAAGGAGGAUAAACAGUGAAG